UUAGCUGUGAGCAGAGGUGACUGUGGACGCUUGAUCUGGUCAUCAGGGAAGGAACUGGGGAAGGGAGGAUGGUGCCGGGGCUGCACUUGGGAGAAGAGGAGAGGGAAUCAAGCAGCAGAAGUGACACCAGGUUCACUUCUCCUCUUCCAUCUGUGUGGACAUUCACUCAUCCUAUUUGUAAUAUAAACUCUCCAGUCAUAAAGUUACAAGUCCUAUUAAAGUGUGAAAUUUGGAGAAUGCUUUAACUCUUUAUUCAGUUCCCUGGUGUCCAGUCUGAAAGACCUCCUCACAAGCUUUGAAUAUGCCAAGCAGAAAACCACUUCCUGGAAUGAUUCCUCAC